UGACUGACCGAUAGUGAACCAGUACCGUGAGGGAAAGGCGAAAAGAACCCCGGCGAGGGGAGUGAAAAAGAACCUGAAACCGUGUACGUACAAGCAGUGGGAGCACCCUUUGGGUGUGACUGCGUACCUUUUGUAUAAUGGGUCAGCGACUUAUAUUCUGUAGCAAGGUUAACCGAAUAGGGGAGCCGGAGGGAAACCGAGUCUUAACCGGGCGUUAAGUUGCAGGGUAUAGACCCGAAACCCGGUGAUCUAGCCAUGGGCAGGUUGAAGGUUGGGUAACACUAACUGGAGGACCGAACCGACUAAUGUUGAAAAAUUAGCGGAUGACCUGUGGCUGGGGGUGAAAGGCCAAUCAAACCGGGAGAUAGCUGGUUCUCCCCGAAAGCUAUUUAGGUAGCGCCUCGUGAAUUCAUCUCCGGGGGUAGAGCACUGUUUCGGCUAGGGGGCCAUCCCGGCUUACCAACCCGAUGCAAACUGCGAAUACCGGAGAAUGUUAUCACGGGAGACACACGGCGGGUGCUAACGUCCGUCGUGAAGAGGGAAACAACCCAGACCGCCAGCUAAGGUCCCAAAGUCAUGGUUAAGUGGGAAACGAUGUGGGAAGGCCCAGACAGCCAGGAUGUUGGCUUAGAAGCAGCCAUCAUUUAAAGAAAGCGUAAUAGCUCACUGGUCGAGUCGGCCUGCGCGGAAGAUGUAACGGGGCUAAACCAUGCACCGAAGCUGCGGCAGCGACACUGUGUGUUGUUGGGUAGGGGAGCGUUCUGUAAGCCUGUGAAGGUGUGUCGUGAGGC
rnacentral:rRNA from 1 species